GACGAACGCUGGCGGCGUGCUUAACACAUGCAAGUCGAACGGAAAGGCCCUGCUUUUGUGGGGUGCUCGAGUGGCGAACGGGUGAGUAACACGUGAGUAUCCUGCCCUUGACUUUGGGAUAACUUCAGGAAACUGGGGCUAAUAUCGGAUAGGAGCUCCUGCUGCAUGGUGGGGGUUGGAAAGUUUCGGCGGUUGGGGAUGGACUCGCGGCUUAUCAGCUUGUUGGUGGGGUAGUGGCUUACCAAGGCUUUGACGGGUAGCCGGCCUGAGAGGGUGACCGGCCACAUUGGGACUGAGAUACGGCCCAGACGCCUACGGGAGGCAGCAGUGGGGAAUAUUGCACAAUGGGCGGAAGCCUGAUGCAGCAACGCCGCGUGCGGGAUGACGGCCUUCGGGUUAUAAACCGCUUUCGCCUGUGACGAAGCGUGAGUGACGGUAAUGGGUAAAGAAGCACCGGCUAACUACGUG
rnacentral:rRNA from 1 species